GACGAACGCUGGCGGCGUGCUUAACACAUGCAAGUCGAACGGAGUGGCGAACGGGUGAGUAACACGUGGGUGAUCUGCCUUGCACUCUGGGAUAAGCUUGGGAAACUGGGUCUAAUACCGGAUAGUGCAAGAUGAGCUCGCGGCCUAUCAGCUUGUUGGUGGGGUAAUGGCCUCCCAAGGCGUCGGCGGGUAGCCGGCCUGAGAGGGUGUACGGCCCCAUUGGGACUGAGAUACGGCCCAGAAUCCUACGGUAGGCAUCAGUGGGGAACAUUGCACAAUGAGCGGAAGCCUGAUGCAGAGACGCCGGGUGGGGGAUGACGGGCUUCGGGUUGUAAACUCCUUUCGACAGGGACGCGGUACCUGUAUAAGAAGCACCGGCUAACUACGUGCCAGCAGCCGCGGUAAUUC
rnacentral:rRNA from 1 species